rnacentral:rRNA from 1 species
UACGUAGGUGGCAAGCGUUGUCCGGAAUUAUUGGGCGUAAAGCGCGCGCAGGCGGUCCUUUAAGUCUGAUGUGAAACCUUGGGGCUUAACCCCAAGCGGCCAUUGGAAACUGGGGGACUUGAGUCGAGGAGAGGAGAGUGGAAUUCCACGUGUAGCGGUGAAAUGCGUAGAGAUGUGGAGGAACACCAGUGGCGAAGGCGGCUCUCUGGUCUCGGACUGACGCUGAGGCGCGAAAGCGUGGGGAGCAAACAGG